UUAUUUUUCAUUAAAAAAGUCAUAAUAAAUCACGAAUCUUUGCAAAUAAGAUAAUCGACUUCGCGUAAAUAUUUGAGGUGAAUGAACAGCACGAUUAUGAUACUUUCAUUCAUCCGUCGUGGAAUUUUUAAAGGAUUUUUUAUGGAUACUACAAAGAGUCAUUUUUAUUUUGUAUAGUAAUUAGACUUUUCCAUUGUUAAUGAUAAAUUAUUUAAUGUUGACAUUAAUUUAAAUAAUUUUUGUUGGUUUAGUAUUAGAUAAUUUUUUUAUUCAUGUUAAAGUGAUAAUUUAGGUUCAAUGCUCGUGUAAAUAAUUGUCAAAAUUAAUAAAAUCGGGAGUUUUAUUGAUAUGAGUCGAGUUUUAAAAUUAAAGGAUUUCUAUUGAUUUUGAUGGUGAUAUGCUAGCCAAUAUAUAAGGGAUCAAUGGUUGAUGAACAUGCUGUUCCAGAUUCAGCUGAAUCACAAAUCAACUUAUCGACAGUGAAAUCAUGCGUAGUACUGCGACGUAAAGGACGGGAUUAAACUUCGAAGUGAAGAACGAGGUCAACUAUCGAUAACACGGAUCAAGAUCCACCAGCUACGCCUCGGGGAGCACCUUAAUAGCCGGAACGGAGCGUAGUAUGUCGAAGAGGUAUUUAUUAUACAAUCCACUAAAUAAAAAAAGGGCCUGAAGACUGAAUGAUGCACCAACUCGAGAGGUUAACCAAACAGCGCUUACAAUGCCGAUCAUAUGUUCUACAAACGACGAUUGCUGUACCAAAAAGUGUCUGUAUGUCAAUGAUCGAGCCCAAGCAAUGUGCGUUUUGGAGAUUGAAAAUCCUUCUGAUUUUUCUAAGUCGUCACCGCUAGUUUAUGCUAUCUCUUUUGGU